CUUCACUCUUGUUUUGUCCAUUCAUCGAACAGCUCAAAUUUAUUCAUACUCAAGGUUUAUUACUCAAAAUCUAUAUUUUGUUUUGCAGGUGAUAUGAGGAAGCUUUCCAAGGAAUUACAGUGAAAUAAAAUCAUGGCAGGGGUGGAGAUUUUAGUUUCCAUAAAUAGACCCUGACUUUAUAAAGUCCCUUGUACUGAGAAAGUAGAAAAGAAUAUUAUUUACAUGUGAAAUACUUUUCUGUGAAUCCUGCCAAAUGUGGAAGCUGGAAUGUUUUUUGAUUUUGCAUGAGUACCAGCUGUUCAGACUGUUCUCUAUUUCUGCUGUUCCACCUUGACAUUUCUGAGGAACCACUUCUACAGUCUCCAUAUACAACCUACACGUGAACUGUUCAUGCACAAGAAGAGGAUGACUUCAAGAGCAGAAAUUAUGUGAAAUGAAAAAUAUAAAUGGAGAUGGAGGAAAGGUGCAGGAGGAGAAUCUUAUUGUAUUUAACCUCAAGGAAAGUGACUUUUUCUUCUUCAAUUUGCAUUUCACUCUAAUUAAAAAUUAGUUUUAAAUGGUAAGAAAAAAUCACUUUUACAAAAAAGACAUCAAAUUAUUUGCGGGGUGGGUGGUGUUUGUGAUAACUGAGAGUGUCAGAAUUCAGACUCUCUGUUUUAUACUCUCUUGUCAAAAGCCAGAAUCAUUUCUUUCUUCUUGCUUUAGAAAAAAAAUCUAUCAAAGCCACAAUGUAAUCAGAAAAUAAUAAAAUCAUAGAAUCAUAGAAUGAGUUGGAAGGAAAGGCCAAGAUCAUGUAGUUCCAACCUCCCUGCUACAAGCAGGAACACAUUUCACUAAACCAGAUUGCUCAGGGCUCCAUCCAGCCUGGCCUUGAACACCUCCAUGUGUGGAGCAUCCAUAACUUCUCUGGACAGCCUGUUCCAGUGCCUCACCACCCUUACAGGAAAAAACUUCCUCCUAAUACCUAAACCUACUGCCUUUCAGUUUGAAGUCACUCUCCCUUAUCUUGUUAUGGCAUGUCCCUGUAAAAAUCAUGGGAAAAUAGCAGGGUCUAAAGUUUUAUACUGUACAAAAAGCAGCAGUCUUUUCCCUGCAAACAUUUCCAUGCACCAAGUGGUCAUUUCACUAUUUUGUUUACCCUGAUCAGAAGAGACCAGCUGUCACCCACAGCAGCAGUGUGUCUUGAUCAGGGUUUGAUUUAUUGGAAAAAAACAAAAAAGUUCUGACUAAUUGCAUGUAAAUCCAGGAUAAUUUGGAAACCCCAAAGGAAAAUUGGGCCACUGGAUAAAAGAGGAGAUUUACGGUCAUUUUUCCACAAAGGCACUCUGGACCAAAGAAGUAAGAAUAUAGCCAUCAGUAAGAACUCUCUAGUUCUCUCAAGCAGGUUGAUGGAGGGAGAAACUGUAUUGCUGCUGGACAAUAAAUAAGAAAUCUAACUGCUCAGACAACUCUAGUGUGUGUCAAAGAGAGAUAAUUGAUUCUAUCAGGAAUUAGGCAUGAAAUUCCUUCUUAGAGUCUGAGUCCUACUAUCUAUUUGAUACCAUUUUUAACAAUAAGCCAGCAAAGGCAUUAGGAAGUUAUAGAUCUUUAAAAAUGGUCAUGAAGCCUGGAAACAGGAAUAGCCACAUGGUCAUCAUAUAUUGUGACAUGUUUUCCACACUUACUACCUUCCACAAGUUACCAACAGCAGCAGUAAAGACCUGUUAAACCUGCCUUCCCAGGCUUCUGUAUUUACCAGGGAUUAACUGGAGUAAAUGCAAUACUGUCCUUCUCUUCUCAUCAUUUAUUAUGUGCUUAGCAUUUGGAAAUAUUUGCAGGUUUUAUAUGUAAAUGUACAUACACAGAUAUGCAUGAGCAUGCAUCAAAUGCCAUUGUAGCUAAAAUGAAGUCUAUUAAGUGUCCUAUAUAAAUAAAAGAUUUAUUAUUUUCGCCUUACAUGGGGAAAGCAUGUACUUCAACAAAAUAAGCCACAACCAAAAUAUCACCCCAAAAUUCUACUUUUGAGGAAUUUCCAGUCAAUCAUAAUCAU